GCGGGACUGAUGAGGGUUUUGUGCAAUAUUCGGGUGUGAAGUUACCUGACACACGUCACUCCUGGUAUAACACGAAUAUGAACCUUCAAGAAUGUGAGAAAUUGUGCCUCAAAAACUGUUCUUGUACAGCUUUUGCAAAUGCAGAUGUUAGAAGAGGUGGACAUGUAUGUGUCUUAUGGUUUACUAAGCUAAUUGAUAUUAGAGACUAUUCUGAAGAUGGACAAGAUAUAUAUGUAAGAAUGCCUUCGUCUGAAUUAGUAAAGAGUCGCAGAGCAAAGUGGAUGCUAGAGUUCAUUCUCAUUUUAGCCAUACUAGCAGUAGUACUGCUUGGCGGAAUAUUUCUUCCAGUAAACAAGAAGAAAAAGCUGCAGAAAGAGAACUGAGAAAGAAGAUCUGGAGUUGCCAUUAUUCGACUUCCAAAGCAUUGCAAAUGCCACAAGUAACUUCUGGCCAGACAACAAACUUGGAGAGGGUGGCUUUGGACCUGUAUACAAGGU